UACAGAGGGUGCAAGCGUUGUUCGGAAUUAUUGGGCGUAAAGGGUGCGUAGGCGGCGCGGUAAGUCGGGUGUGAAAUCUCGGGGCUUAACUCCGAAACUGCAUUCGAUACUGCCGUGCUUGAGGACUGGAGAGGAGACUGGAAUUUACGGUGUAGCGGUGAAAUGCGUAGAUAUCGUAAGGAAGACCAGUGGCGAAGGCGGGUCUCUGGACAGUUCCUGACGCUGAGGCACGAAGGUCAGGGGAGCAAACGGG
rnacentral:rRNA from 1 species